GAUCAUUGUGAUGGGUAAAUAUCAGUUAAAUAUUAAGACGACUUGGAAGCAAUGGUGAAAUUGGAAAAAGUAAUCAGAGAAAAAGAAUAAGCACUUGUUUCAUUUGAAGAUCAACACACACACAAGGAAAUUGUCAGACCUUUUAUAACCAUAUAUUGAGAUGAUUUUAGAUCUAUGCAUGAAAAGAAAGUGAAAGGAAUGUUUUAAAGAUAAAAGUGCGAGGUCAUAUAACAAAACUAUAACAGUGCUGAAUAUGAAAUAAUCCAUGCCAUGUCACAUGUGAACUUUGCAUUGGAAUGAAUCGACUUUCAGUAUGACAAAAAAAAAAGGAAGAAUUACAUGUUCAAUUUGACUCUGGAACAUUGAAGACAAAGAAAUGAAAAUAUUAAAUCAGAGGAUAGGACUGUGCAUUUCUUUCUUGUAAGAUCAACACAUAAAAGGAAAUGUUCACAUCAUUACUCAUCAGAUGCCAGUUAUUGAGAUAAUUUUGGAUCUAUACAUACAAAGUGAAAUGAGUGAGAAAUAUAAUUCAAACAUCAUGAUUUGGCAGGCUGGUAACUGCAUGUGCUUACUGGUAUAUAUUUAUAAGAUUAUUCUUGGCAUGUUACCUGUGAAUUAAAAGAAAAACUAAGGGAUAAAGAAUUUUCUAGAAGAACAAUAACAUAUGAAAAUCAACAGGAUGAUAUUUGUGACAUGAACAAUGCUUUUGAUAUUAAGUAUGAGAAAACUAUUUUGAAAUGAAUGAAAAAUUAUCAUAUAUAGAUAAGAGGAUGUGGUAUGAGUGCCAAUGAGACAACUAUCCAUCCAGGUCACAAUGUGUAGAAAGUAAACAAUUAUAGGUCAAUUUACGGCCUUUGUUUUUAUGAAACUUUUGAAAUAGACAUUAUGUAUUUAAUAAUUAAUAAUUACUCAUAAUGAACUCAAUAAGUAAAUGCUUUCACAUGCGCUUUAUUAAAUAAACAAAUAGUUUCACCUCUUUUAGGAAAUCUCUUAUUUUAAAUUUUUUCUAUAACAAUAGAAAAUAUGUACUUAUUUACCUAGCAUUAAAUUUUUUGCUGGUUUUAAUCCUGGACCAAUGUACUUGUUUUCAAAUUCAUUGAUUUCAUAUGUUUUAUACUGAAGAGACUGCAAUGAAUGAAUGAUGCAUGUUUAACAAAUGAACAUAGAAAAAUUCUAGCUUAAAGCAGAUAUUGUUUCUAGAAAGAUCCAUAUAUACAUGUGACAGUUUUCUGAUCCAUACUAAUUUCAGUGAACUAUUGAAAAAUGUUUUUGAAAAAAAAAUUGUCAAAGACUUUAUCAGGUGUGAGCAGAUUAAUAUUUCUCAUGAAACAUGCAGAAUUUGAUAGAAUGGGCUUCAUACUUCCAUUCACUAGGGGUGGUUAAAUGUGUUAUUUUCUUAUCAGGAGAAACAUUUUGUUUAAGAAAGACUUUAUUGCCGUUCGUCAUCUUAAAGUCGUAAAAACCCUAUGAUAACUGAAGUUAAGAGAGUACAUAUUAAGUAAAUUUUAUUUACAGUCGUCACAUAUGGAAAUGAACAUGAGAUUACGAAAGCUCUUACAAAGUAUAUGGCGGUUAACCUUAGAGUCCCCUCUUUUUUUCCUUCAUAACAUUCGCAUUCGCCGUGAUUCUUUCAAGUUUUAUUAACACAUUCAAGUAUGAAAAUAAUAAAAAUAACACAUGGAUGAUAUAAGGGAUGACCAAAAUUAGUUCUGGGUAAGAUUCUUGAGAAAAAUUCAAAAAAAUUUCAAAUUCUAAUGAUUUUUAUAUGAAUAAAUAGCCAAUUUACCGUAGAACAGUAUUAAACUACCUGCGAAAUUUUGAAAUAAUUUCUUAAUUUCAAGAGGGAUAACACAUUUAGUGAAAACAAAUUAAUCUUCCAUGAGGUUCUCAAUAAUUAUUUAUUAAUUACUAGUGUUAUAAUAAAUGUUGUCGUACAAAUGUUCGUCAACUUUUCUUUAUAUGCUAGUGCUUAUGUUAUAAAAUGUUAUUAUAUUUUUAGGAAGAUAUUGAAAUAUUAUAUGGUUAGUGUGCAAGUAUUUCGAACUUAAUAUUUUCUUGGCCUGUUAUUGAUAUUCAGUUAAUUGCAAAACAGGAUAUAUUUACAUAUGAAUAUAAAUAAGAAGAUGUGGUAUGAGUGUCAAUGAGACAACUCUCCAUCCAUCCAUAAUGCAUGUUCUUUAUUGAAUUUCCUUUAGCAGACAAUUUAGGUUUAUCUAUUCAUUUAAGCAUAAAUUGCAAUUUUGAAACACAGACAAACAGUUUUAAACAAAUACUUAAUUUUUAAUUAAAUACAAAACUAUGUACUCAAUGGACUGACCACAACACGAUGACCACUUGUCAAUGAUAUUAACUUAUAUGUAAUUACUUAGUCACACUGUAUAAUUACAACAAUAAUAUAUUCCACGAUUUACCUUUACUGGUUAUGAUAAAAAUAACUGUCCAUUAUUAUCAAAAAUUAUACUUAAUACUUCAAAGUUCUUUGAAGCACUGCAUAGUGUUACAUAUUAUGCAGCAUUUUCAUAUAUUAUUUCUUUCUCUCGGUUAAUCAUUUAUUAAUUACGUAAUCAUUAUGUUUAACUCGUUCGAAUAUAAUGCGUUAAACAAUCAUAUUAAUUCUAAGGCAAUUUCAUUUUAAAGUUGAUCUGUGCUUUUAACGACAAUUACUAUAAUUUGUAUAUACUUAACAAAAUUGUUGGAUUUAUAAUAUUGCUGUUGAAUAAAUAAAUAUAUAGAUUCCACCUAUACA